UCCCUGGUGGUCCAGUGGUUAGGACCCAGUACUUUUACUGCUGGGGGCAAGGGUUCAAUCCCUGGUCAGGGAA